GACGUAGGGCGCGAGCGUUGUCCGGAUUUAUUGGGCGUAAAGAGCUCGUAGGCGGCUUGUCGCGUCGAAUGUGAAAACUCGGGGCUCAACUCCGAGCUUGCAUUCGAUACGGGCAGGCUAGAGUUCGGUAGGGGAGACUGGAAUUCCUGGUGUAGCGGUGAAAUGCGCAGAUAUCAGGAGGAACACCGGUGGCGAAGGCGGGUCUCUGGGCCGAUACUGACGCUGAGGCGCGAAGGCUAGGGGAGCGAACGGG
rnacentral:rRNA from 1 species